CUUCACCGAACCCAGCCACAACGGAUCCCCCUCACGAUCCCGCCCAUAGGUGGCCAACAAAGCCUGCGCCUC
rfam:Streptomyces hygroscopicus ATCC 53653 genomic scaffold supercont1.1, whole genome shotgun sequence.